AAAAGAUUUAGUCCUAACCUUACAGUUAAUUAUUACCAGACUUAUACAUGCAAGUAUCCGCACACCAGUGUAAAUGCCCUUGGCUUCUUAACAAGACAAAAGGAGCAGACAUCAGGCACGCUUCUUGCAGCCUAAGACGCCUUGCUCAGCCACACCCUCACGGGUAUUCAGCAGUAAUUGACAUUAAGCAAUAAGUGUAAACUUGACUUAGUUAUGGUAAACAGGGUUGGUAAAUCUUGUGCCAGCCACCGCGGUCAUACAAGAAACCCAAAUUAACUGCAUACGGCGUAAAGAGUGGUCCAAACAUUAUCCCUCCAACUAGAGCUAAAUUACUACUGAGCUGUCAUAAGCUAAAGACGUAUAUAAAUCCUGUAUCAACACAGCUCUAGCACCAAAGACUAAUUUAACCCCACGAAAGCCAGGGCACAAACUGGGAUUAGAUACCCCACUAUGCCUAGCCCUAAAUCUAGAUGUGUUUUCCACCAAAGCAUCCGCCCGGGAAUUACGAGCACAAACGCUUAAAACCCUAAGGACUUGGCGGUGUCCCAAACCCCCCUAGAGGAGCCUGUUCUGUAAUCGAUAACCCACGUUACACCCAACCCCUCCUUGCCCAAACAGCCUAUAUACCGCCGUCGUCAGCCCACCUUCCCUGAAAGACUAAUAGUGAGCUUAAUAAUCCAACCCAUUAAUAAGACAGGUCAAGGUAUAGCCUAUGGAGGGGAAGAAAUGGGCUACAUUUUCUAUCAUAGACCAUCACGGAAGGAGACCUGAAACAAUCUCCAGAAGGAGGAUUUAGCAGUAAAACAAGAUAAUCAAACUUGUUUUAAACUGGCCCUAGGACACGUACAUACCGCCCGUCACCCUCUUCAUAAGCUAAGAUUCCCCAUACCUAAUCAAUAAAUAAGCUAAAGAUGAGGUAAGUCGUAACAAGGUAAGUGUACCGGAAGGUGCA
rnacentral:ncRNA from 1 species